GAAGAAUAGUGGGUGGUAUAAACAGAAAAACCGGAUAAAACGCUUUGUCAUCGCUUGCAUCGGUGAAAAGUUCUCGAAGAGAGCUGAAAAAAAACAACAACAACCACCGCUAACCCCCUUUAACCCCUUCGCGUAUCUUUAUUAUUUUAUAUUAUUUCUCUGUCUCAUUUGUUCAUUGUUUGCAGUGCAGACUCUUUUGUUUUUGUUUUCCUGUUGAUAAGACUAUUACUCAAAUCGAGAAUCGAAUCGUACGGUGCUCUAAAAAAGCUGUAUUUGCCGAUAACCCCUGUUAUUGCAAACUUAAUACCAAUGGCGCUCUAAUUGCGCCCUCUUUUUUUACUGUUAUACUCCAAGACAUAAAACCCUGAUCGCAUUUUGGAGCUUAAAAGACUGAAUAUUUAUGUUCCAGAUUUUAUUUUUUAAAAGGGGUUAAAUAUCAACUAUAAAGUUGGCUUAUAAUUCGAAAAGAUUAUAUUAUCAAUUCUCGUCUUAAAAAAUUAAGUCGGAAAUAAAAAUGUUCAAGGGUACUUGUGUCAUUGCCUUACUUGUUUAAAAAUUACGAUUAAUUAGUAAAUUUUCUGGAGCAAUUAACCAUUAUUAACUAAUGUUCUGAAGGAUUUUCUCUGGGUGUAUUUUUUCGCAACGCUCUCUUUUCCCACCUUUCAUAUUUCUGCAUUCCCUUGUUUUUGCCUUUUCGCUUUAAAUUAAAUUAACAAAAUGCAGACGAAACUUGCCGACAGCUGAGCAAAGUUAAUAGCUUGUUGGGGGUACAACUUUUUUAUUUGUAUGAGUAAUCCUAAAGUCCAGAUAAUUUUGCAGUCGUUCUGAAAAACCUCCCUUUCCCUUUUUCCAUUCACCGCCGACUGAUGCGCAUGAUUGGUUUAUUUAUCAUCGUUAAAUGUGUUGUAAGGGGGAACAGUUGUUCCUUAUCAAGAGAUUCUGACUAAUCCCAAAGGCAUAUAAUGAAUACAGGGGAACAUACAAAAGUCAACCUUUGGUUUCGAUGGAAAACUAGUAAAUUAAUCAAACUUAAAUCAGAAUUCGAAAGUUAAGUCAUAAUAAUUUGUCAUAUCAUUUUUAAUUAAAUAUGCCCCUAUAUGUUCUUACAUUUUACAGAAGUUCAUGCAUCUGAAUGCAGAUAUGUAACAUACAAAUCAACAGCAGAAAACAACUUACAAAUAGCCUCUAUAUGGAUUACUUAAUUAUAAUAAUAAAAACAAUCCGUAGUCAACUGAAAACAUUUGUUAAAGGAAAAUCCGCCAUUCCAGGCUCUUAACUGUUUCUUUGUUUGUCAAUUAACGGCGAAAAAUUGUAGAGCCACAAAAAUUGAAAACGUCGCCAUUGCUGAAAUUUCAAAAAACAAUAUCUCUGCUCAGCCAAGUGAAUACAAUAUAUACGUGGAUACGUUCAAAUAUACAUAUGUAUGUAUAUAAUGUUUAUUUCCGUGCUUAUCUUUGCUGUUUUCUUUGCUUUCUAGACGCUUUUGUUUGGUAUUCCUGAUGGCACCAACACAGACAUUUUUUCAUGUUAAUAGAAAUUAGCACUUUUCAAAGUGAAAUACGUGAUCGGUUCAGAUAAAUUGAUUGGAACUGAAUUACAAAAGGGAUUGCUCUACGAUCGGUUAGCAAAUUGUUCUUCAGAUAAAGCCAAAUUGUUUGGUUCUUUGGGAUUAUUAUUUAAAGAAAUUAAAGCUAUCAGCUAAAUUCAUUAUAUAAACAUACGAAACGAUAAAAUGAGUAGGAAAAAUAUUAAAUAAAUACUCUGGAGUGGGUAAAUUAUUGUUGUGAUGCAUUCAAGUGUUUCCGUUUCGGGAUAUAUGAAUAUUAUAAAUUCUGACUUUAAAAAAAGAAAGCCCAAAACUUAUGUUAAUGACCUAUAUAAACAAUUUCUUGUAUUUUAUUUGUAUAAUUUAUAUGAUUAUUAAUUUCCUGUUUGUACAUAUAUCCAAUUCAAUACAACAUAAUCAUGUGAA